UCCCAGGUGGCUCAGUGGUAAAGAAUCUGCCUGUAAGGCAGGAGACCUGGGUUCAAUCCCCAGGUCGGGAA